UAUUGCACAAUGGGCGCAAGCCUGAUGCAGCGACGCCGCGUGGGUGAUGAAGGUCUUCGGAUCGUAAAGCCCUUUUCUGCGUGACGAGACAGGACGGUAGCGCAGGAAUAAGUCUCGGCUAACUACGUGCCAGCAGCCGCGGUAAAACGUAGGAGACAAACGUUAUCCGGAGUUACUGGGCGUAAAGGGCGUGUAGGCGGUCUGUUAAGUCUGGCGUGAAAGCUCUCGGCUAAACCGGGAGAGGUCGUUGGAGACUGGCAUGACUGGAGGACGGUAGAGGCGUGUGGAAUUCCGGGUGUAGUGGUGAAAUGCGUAGAGAUCCGGAGGAACACCAGUGGCGAAGGCGACACGCUGGGCCAUAUCUGACGCUAAAGCGCGACAGCGUGGGGAGCAAACA
rnacentral:rRNA from 1 species